GUGAAGUCAUGAUGAAGUUUAUCCAUUCUCUGAGUGCCUCUGCACUGCCCCCCGCAACACCCAGGUCCCUGUUCUAGAGGCUUUGUGCUGUGCAGCCUCCAGAUUCCCCCCAGUCUCUCAGUGGUCUACUGGGGGCUAUUCGCAUGUCUGGAUGGCUGCCUGCAGGAGUGAAAUAGCCAGCCGAGCUGGAGCCUCUUUCUUUGGGGGGCUCCAUCUCGGCCAAGAUGAGGGAUGCUGUCUGAUCAC